CGGGGACUCAUUCUGACUGAAACAAGGGGCGGGUCUUUACCAACUUCAAAAUCUUAUAUUUUAGGGAAGCCUUGGAGAUAUCAGAAGUGAGAAUGCUGACAUGAGUAACGAGAAAUCCUGUGAAAAACACGAUCGCCUGCCAGUGGAAGGUUUUUUGCGUUCAGUCAAUCUGCGCAGAGUGAAUCGGUCCCUAAGGAAACCCCGAAAGGGCUGCCGUCCGAUGGGUACACGAAUGUGACGAAGUUGCAUGAACCGUAGAAAGAGCGAUCAUCCACGCCCCCACGAAGACCAAAUGAACUCUCGCUAUAGUAAAGGCAGGAUUGGAGGCGUUUAGAAAUGACUCGAGCAAAUGGGGAAGCUAUCUCAACUCCUAGGUAUAGUAGUACUCGCUCGAAUCUAAUCUAUAAGAGGAAGGCUGUCAAAUAAGCCAAGCAAGGCUAAGAAGAAGCAUAAAAUGAGACAGUCCAAAGGCAGGGUAAGAAAGGGUUUAGCUAAUGGAGAUAUUAACUCUUCCGGGAACCAGUAACGCGUAAACCCAUACCUUUAGCCAAUUUAGCUCUUAAUACAGGAUCAUUCAAGUCAGGUUUUUGUUAUUGGGAUAGGUGAAUUCUUGUAGAUCCAUCCCCCGAUGGAACCGGACAUGAUAAUUUUUCAUCAUACGGCUCGAGCAAGAAUCAAAAGAACCAAAUGAAUCCAUAUAAAAUCUAUAUGUUAUCUAGAUCCACACAUAUAUAUGAAUGGAUUUUUGUAAGAAACAUGUUACUGUAUUUUUUUCUGGAGUUGCAACUAUUCAGCUAUCUCCUAGCAACGCUUUGGCGGACUCCUUAUUCUGUGAAAUUGAUUCACUUUUGUUUGUCAGUGUAACGUCUCGUCCACAUUAGUAUGAAAUCUUUUCUCUUUUGAAGCGCGCCACAAAAUCCGCGGCGCAUUCGAUGUCAUCACACCUUUCGGCUUUCCCCCGAGCGAUCUCUUGUCCGAACAGUGCUUUCGUCUUCUGGUACAAAUAGCAGAUGAGAGAGACCUUUCGCACGGAUUGCCUGCUAUGAGAAAGUCAGAAUGAAGUACUCUAUUCGGCGACUUGUCUUUUGUCUGACUGGUCUAACAUUUACUUUUUGUUUUGGUUACAUGCUAUGCUAUAAUUUUUAUACAGGCUCUAUAGGUGAAACUCUACCACAACUGGUGGAGUCUUUACCGCAGGAAAUCCCAUCAAUAGAUUGAACACUAGCCGAAAUACUUGGGAUUUCUUCAGGGCGCGCAGCUGUACCCGAUGCAGUUGAUUUGAUAACUGUGAUAGCUCCCUCUCCGUCAGAGGGGGUUGGUCAUGCUUUGGAAGAUACUUCAGCCGGUUCUCGUAGUCAAUUGUUCAUUCGCCUCUUCACGGCGACCAUUGUUCCAAUUCUAAUCUAAUAGGAAGCCUGGCUGUCGUCGGUGGCAGCCAUCUGGAUCCCUCCGCUGUUCCUACGUUGUUGGUAGGUCUCGUCGAUUGAUAGAUUUGGUGCUAGGUUUUUUUGAGAGUGGAUGGCUCCGUUUCCAACCCUAAGCACAGGUUCGAUUCCCGUGUCUCUUUCGAUCAUUAGAUCAUUAGUGCAACAACAAGUACCUACGAUGACUCUUUUUCGGAGAAGUAGCUGUAGGAGCGCCGCUCGCACACUAAGUGUCGCUGGUAGCUGGCAAAAUGGAAAAAAAGUUGCAAUGACAGUUUCACGUUGUGAGUAUAAGUGUUCGGUAGAUCAGCUUUGUAUAGAAUUGAAUUCUGCUUUUUAUGUCCUUAGGGAAAGGUGGANNNNNNNNNNNNNNNNNNNNNNNNNNNNNNNNNNNNNNNNNNNNNNNNNNNNNNNNNNNNNNNNNNNNNNNNNNNNNNNNNNNNNNNNNNNNNNNNNNNNGUUUUUCACAGGAUUUCUCGUUACUCAUGUCAGCAUUCUCACUUCUGAUAUCUCCAGGUGUUGUCACCAAAAACCUUCCCCGAUUGACAGAACGUUCCGCUACUGACACUUGAAAAAGCAGCUUUCAAGGUCUCGUCGCUUCGGUGAAUCGGUCAUAGUGGCUCGGGUCCAACAGAACGGUAUGAAUAUGAGAGAAAAGUCUCCUAUAAAAAUAACUGACGCCUAUCAUUGAUCCGAAGCUCGAGUACGGUCCGUGCGCCAUUUUUCUUCUCUACCAUGACGAAUCAAUUGGUAUGCUCUAUCAGUCUGUCCCGAUUCCUCUAGUUAUGGAGUUCCGGACUUAGAAGAGCAAGGCAGGGAAGCUUCAGGGAAGGGUGCUUUCACUUAGGCAUAUGAAUAUGAAAGAAAAAGAUGAACAACUGAGCACACGCCCCCAGCGACGCACAGAGCACUGAGAGACAGUCCGAUUACCGCAAAUCUCCAAACUGGUCGGUCAAAUGCAUCUCGAUUCUCCUCCAGCAUUGAAGUGCCUAAUCUGAUCUCUAAAAGUGUCCAGUAAGCUAUAUCUAGCAGCUCCACCCGUCCGCGAUGCAUGGCUCUUCGUCACCCUGGUUACGAGCCAACGGUAGAGCAAAUUCCUCAGCUUUCACACAUGUCAAAGAAUGCAUUGAUUUCGCAUUUGUCGACCAGUGGAUCGGAGCGGAACUAUGUGUUUUCCCUAGUCCCUGACUCACAAGUAGUACAUUUAGAAAGAAUAGAUAUAGAAAACAGAGAUCCCUGUCUCCGCAACAUUAAUCUAUUCAUAUUGUGUCACAUUCAUCAACCCUUGUAUCACCUUCAACCCUUUGAGCGAAAUGCGGAAAAAGGAAGAUCCAUUCCUUCAUCCCUUGAGUACGAUAGCUAUUCAAAGCAAAGAGAAAAAAAUGGUGAUAAGAUCGAGAUUUUCUGCUUUCUUAGCCUAGUCUGUUAACGGAGGAGAAAGGGAAAUCUCGCCCUUCGGGCAACACCAUAAGACUUGUGUUAAGCAAGCAGAGUAGUCAAGCCAGAGAGGCAAAAAAGCAAGAAGCUAUUUUCGUUCGAUCGACGGAAUCCAGGACCUUCGAUCGACCAUAGGGCAUAUCCUACCCUUACCGAAUUCAUUUCAUUCUAUUAAAGCGUAACGUAAAAAGCGACUUCUCAUGUUGCGUUUAGCUUCUAAACCUGAAACCUACCAACGAUUCCACCUUUCCUCAAAGGCUAGGGCCGAUGACCCUCUUUCGAAUCAUAAAACAAAAAAAAAUAGCAUUGAAAUCGAUUUUUAUUGACCAAUCAGAACUGCCUCCCAGGAUCUAUAAUUGCCUUAUAAGGUCCAAUAUAUAUACAUUAUUACAAAAUACGAGUCCAAAGGCAGGGUAAGAAAGGGUUUAGCUAAUGGAGAUAUUAACUCUUUCGGGAACCAGUAACGCGUAAACCAUGUCAAACCAAAACCGAUCAAUAUCCGAACGGAACGGAUUCGAACUUCUCCUGGAAGACUCUUCACCGGGAGCGCCGCCCACUCUAGCAAAAACUAUACGCAAAAGGAAGGAUCCCAAAGAAUCGAUCUUUCUUUUAGUUGUUGAAUCUCUCUUUGAUUGAUCACCGACCGAAAACCCGAACCGCUUGACUGACCCCUUCAUACUCGAUUCAUUAGGGUUGGGGAUGGAUGGAACCAAUCAGAAGUGCAAAUCGCGCAAGCGAAGCCGGGAAACGGACCGCAGCGCAACGACUAGGACUCGUGUCGGAGGAGUUUUGAGCNNNNNNNNNNNNNNNNNNNNNNNNNNNNNNNNNNNNNNNNNNNNNNNNNNNNNNNNNNNNNNNNNNNNNNNNNNNNNNNNNNNNNNNNNNNNNNNNNNNNCCCCUUCAGACCUUGAUGCCUGCGUCUCUUACUUAGUUUCUUAAACCUUAGUAAUUCAACAUGGGACUAGGCUUGCUGGCGACAAGACUUGGAUGAGCGGCCGGAUUAAACCCUUGGUAGUAGUGUGCUUGUGGGGGGCACGUAGAGGAUAGAUUGUAGUUGGGCGGGAUAGCAGCUCUCGAGUAGUACCUCUAGAUUGGAUCUUCUCUUGAAUGCGUUUGGGAUUAGAGACCCCAACGAGCGAGGCAGAGAUGGAAGAGAUAAAAGACGGGAAUAAGAAGCAAGCUCGCCUUUCUUUUUGAUCAUUUUGAUAGAUGGGGAUGGAGAAACAAACCGGAAUAAAUCGAGUCCACCCACACUUGAGUGAGCUAUCAGGCUCCACACAUUCGUCUCCGACAGCCCGACGAGUCAUCUACUUAAAAGGACCCUCCUCCCUGCAGUGCGCCCUCCAUAGCCGAUUGAAUGGUUGGAUAGCCGCUCAACUGUUCACUAGACUUCCUGUACCCCCCCCCUAUCUCUCUCGACCCAUUCACCGGAGUAGCUCCGUCGUUGAUCUCUCCUCUUCCCGGCCGGCUGUGACUCGUAUGUCCAGACAACGACUAUCGAUUCCUAACGAACCCAUAGAUUCUUCUACCAUUCGACCAGAUCUUCUAGAUUGUAUUCUAAAACUCCGGCCUCGAGUCAACUCUCCGAUGCAUUUCUUCAAAUUGCUCUCCAUUUCUAAGUUCAUAGCCUUCCUAAGGCUGGCUUGCCCGCUUCGUCCGAUUAAGCCGGCACCAAGCCCUUUGAAAGUGAGACAAUAACAUCAGGUUACACAGGGUAAAUUCCUCCUAACAGUCAAAGUUAUCGAAAAGACUGACCGAACUCUUGGCAGCUAUAGAUAGUAAAAACUAGUACUUGCUUGGGACUCGCCUGCGCUAAGCCUCGGGGAGCCUUUACCACAAUGAUGCUUUCCAUAGAUCAAAUUAUUUCGUGGAUUGGAUUUCACUUGACUCUUGUCCCGUACUCCACGCUAUUUAAAUUAAGGAACUAGCCCCUUAUUUACUGGUAAGGUGGGAAAGUAUUGACUUGUCCAAAGUAGCAUUACGAAAACCAGCCAAAAGUUUGACUUCAGCCUACUUUGUUAAGAGAAGAGAGAGAGGGGAAAGACCAUAGCGUUCAUGACGUACUGGAGUUAUAACAUUUAUCCCCAUUCCUAUAGUAAAGAAACCCACAAUGAAUCCCAAUAUUCUGGAAUUUUUAUCCGAUAUGGCAAAAGUUGGAAUAAGUGUUACUGAAAGUCUUUCUUUCUACCUCUCUCUUUGAAAAUAGAGAGUGAAAGAAGCGUCCUAUUUAUAGGCGCGGGGGUCCAUGGCAGCAAAAAAAAAAUCCUUUCUGGGUGGUGGUAUUACACCCUUCUCAAAGGAACCGUACGUGAGACUCUCGCGUCAUACGGCUCCGCCCCGGAAUCAGGACCUCCCCUUUCCUUUGACCAACGGGUCCUCAAACCAACCUGCCCUCCCACAUGAAAGCAAACCAACCGGCGAUUUUCGACAAGUCUUUCUUGCAUUUUUAGAGCAAGAAGCGGAACUACAAAUUCCAUUUUUCUCGUUCUAUCUCAGAGUAUCCAUUCACUCGAAACUGAUCUGCCUCCAUUUCCACUUUCCGUAAGCGGGCAAAAAACGGAGCAGAUUUGACUCGGCACAACCAAUCUUCUCCGGAGCAUGCUUCACAGCCACUCAUUCGUCCUGACCAAAUAGUAGAAUCUAUCUCUCAGCGAUUCUUUUCUCCGCUAAUCACCCCUUCCCAACCAGCCCGCCCGAUCGAUCUUGUAAGAUCGGCUAAUUCAAAGGGGUUAAUCUGGUCUUAAGUUGUCGGAACCCUCGGUAUCUAAUAAGUUUUUAUACCCAUUUUCUUUUAUGGAUAUUGAUUUUUUAUCUUUUCUAUUUCAUUCAUUGUUUGGUGGUGGUUACUAAACUAAGGGUCCGCGAUAGACUGCCCUUCCCCUUCGAUUCCCCUGCUCUGCUAUUUUGAUUUUCUCAUCUCAAGGCUCGUAUAACUCGCCCCUAGUGGUAUAGUAUAGUUCUUAGGGGCAUCAGGGACAGCGAGAAGCUUCUCACAGAGAGAGAUAACUCGCAUAUGAAAGAAAGGAUGCUUCGCUUGCCAUUGAAGGAAGUUCCUGCUUCUAGCGCGAAAGCAGACAGACCUGCGGGUCACUAAGGCUCUACCCUUUCUGGGGUGCAUUGACCUUUUUUGGUCAAAACUCCAGGGCCGGGCGAACCCUCGCCUUUGGAUUGGGCUGCGCGGGGGGUCUGACCAUGCCGAUUUGUUUGGCUGUCAGGGCCGCCCUCACGACAGACACUUUCCCCUUUCUUUCUCUAUUUAUGCUUCCAGGCGAGGCANNNNNNNNNNNNNNNNNNNNNNNNNNNNNNNNNNNNNNNNNNNNNNNNNNNNNNNNNNNNNNNNNNNNNNNNNNNNNNNNNNNNNNNNNNNNNNNNNNNNCUUGUUCAAGGCAAGGUACCAAAUGAGAAGCAGCACUUCCACUGCAAUGCAAGGACUCUUCACACAAGACGGUCGGGCUGACCCAAGGGAUCAAUCAACUGGGACUUCUCCCUCUCGCUCUCUUCUCAUUCCACUUUUAAAUAGGAACAAAGAUGGCGCACGCGGGUGCUAGUAUAAAUGCUGCACCUCUCCUCCGACGAACUUUUGAUGCCGAAGCUGUCUAUGUUGUUUCUUUGGUGACCUUUCCCCGUUCCACAGUGGGCUAGCCUCAAUAGAGAUUCUCUUGCCACUUUCUGUAGUGAGAAAUUUGAUAGGCUUUCACGCCAAUUCAGUCCUAGUAAUCAACGACUUCGAUAAAAGGGCCGAAACCAAGCAAAAAAACCUAAACAAAGAAGAAGCGCCCUUCAAGCUUAGCCCGCUCACUCCUUCCCUUUGGGAACCUGCAAGCCGCGUGCAGUCCAUAUUUUUGGAGGUUGAGUUUUGUCUAUUCCGCUCGUCCGCACGGGUCCUAUAUAUAUGAAAAAGCGCAGGGAUACAACUCUCAAUGGCCAUAUAUAUGCAGGAUCUGCCUGGAAAUGUUGACUUCAUUGUAAGCCGCACGGAAAAGCUGGUUGAAUUCCUCUCUGUUUCCUUCCGUGUCGUUCCGGUCUCUUUUUCCUUUUCUAAGCUAUAUCAACAAGCUGUUUUUUCAAGUGUCAGUAGCGGAACGUUCUGUCAAUCGGGGAAGGUUUUUGGUGACAACACCGAGGUAACGAGUGGGUAGAAAAUUAGAAAAAAAUUCCAACGUAUUAAACAGACACUAAAGCAUUCCCAUCCGCAUCAUCAGAAUAGAGGGCUGUUAGUUUCUUCUAUCUGGUACUUAAUUAAGAUUUGAAUGGUAAUCGUAAAAAGAGAAUCAAACCCUGCUACCGGAAAGCGGAUCUUUCGAAGGCAGGCGCUCAGUAGGCCAUUCUCAAAGCAGACCCACGGGUGUAGCAUGGUCGUCAGCUCAUCCCUAACUAUAGAUAGAGCAGUCGCCAAAUCCAAUCCACAUGAGAGAUGAGGAACCGUUAGGACGAGGGAGAGAAUCGGGCGAAGUCCUAUCGUCGAGUAGCUCCGCACCUCUGCUUGCUAAGAGCUUCUUUCUUUCCCCCUGAGGGCUUCUGUUCAAAAACCUCAUCCGAGAACUUGUAUAGAGAAGGAUUUCCCGCGGCGCAGCAGUUCUUCCAUACCAACUUAGCUGCCCGGCGCUGCUAUUGGCAUAACAACCGGUACACCAUAGGUUGGCCCAACCCAGUCCUCUCGUACUAGGGUUGGCUCCUCGCAGUUCUCCCUUUAACACCAACGGUAGAUAGGAACCGAACUGUCUCACGACGUUCUAAACCCAACUCACGUACCACUUGAAUCGGCGAACAACCGAACCCUUGA
rnacentral:lncRNA from 1 species